GGUGAGGUGGCCGAGUGGCUGAAGGCGCGCCCCUGCUAAGGGUGUAUAGGGGAGACUCUAUCGAGGGUUCGAAUCCCUCCCUCACCGCCA
rnacentral:tRNA from 3 species